GAUGAACGCUGGCGGCGUGCCUAAUACAUGCAAGUCGAGCGAACAGACGAGGAGCUUGCUCCUCUGACGUUAGCGGCGGACGGGUGAGUAACACGUGGAUAACCUACCUAUAAGACUGGGAUAACUUCGGGAAACCGGAGCUAAUACCGGAUAAUACAUUGAACCGCAUGGUUCAAUAGUGAAAGACGGUUUUGCUGUCACUUAUAGAUGGAUCCGCGCCGCAUUAGCUAGUUGGUAAGGUAACGGCUUACCAAGGCAACGAUGCGUAGCCGGCCUGAGAGGGUGAUCGGCCACACUGGAACUGAGACACGGUCCAGACUCCUACGGGAGGCAGCAGUAGGGAAUCUUCCGCAAUGGGCGAAAGCUUGACGGAGCAACGCCGCGUGAGUGAUGAAGGUCUUCGGAUCGUAAAACUCUGUUAUUAGGGAAGAACAAAUGUGUAAGUAACUAUGCACGUCUUGACGGUACCUAAUCAGAAAGCCACGGCUAACUACGUG
rnacentral:rRNA from 1 species